rnacentral:rRNA from 1 species
CCUACGGGAGGCAGCAGUGGGGAAUAUUGGGCAAUGGGCGCAAGCCUGACCCAGCAACGCCGCGUGAAGGAAGAAGGCUCUCGGGUUGUAAACUUCUUUUAUCAGGGACGAAGCAAGCGACGGUACCUGAUGAAUAAGCCACGGCUAACUACGUGCCAGCAGCCGCGGUAAUACGUAGGGGGCAAGCGUUAUCCGGAUUUACUGGGUGUAAAGGGCGUGUAGGCGGUACAGCAAGUCAGAUGUGAAAACCAUGGGCUCAACCUGUGGCCUGCAUUUGAAACUGUUUUUCUUGAGUACUGGAGAGGCAGGCGGAAUUCCUAGUGUAGCGGUGAAAUGCGUAGAUAUUAGGAGGAACACCAGUGGCGAAGGCGGCCUGCUGGACAGCAACUGACGCUGAGGCGCGAAAGCGUGGGGAGCAAACAGGAUUAGAUACCCGAGUAGUC